AAGGAGUUAGUUAAAAUAUAACAUUAGAAUGUCAAUCUUAAAUUACUAAAAUAGUACACCUUG
rnacentral:tRNA from 1 species